rnacentral:rRNA from 1 species
UGCCAGCAGCCGCGGUAAUACGUAGGUGGCAAGCGUUGUCCGGAUUUACUGGGCCGUAAAGGGAGCGUAGGCGGAUUUUUAAGUGGGAUGUGAAAUACCCGGGCUCAACCUGGGUGCUGCAUUCCAAACUGGGAAUCUAGAGUACAGGAGGGGAGAGUGGAAUUCCUAGUGUAGCGGUGAAAUGCGUAGAGAUUAGGAAGAACACCAGUGGCGAAGGCGACUCUCUGGACUGUAACUGACGCUGAGGCUCGAAAGCGUGGGGAGCAAACAGGAUUAGAUACCCUGGUAGUCCA